rnacentral:tRNA from 1 species
UCCGCCAUAGCUCAGUUGUGUAGUAGCGCAUGACUGUUAAUCAUGAUGUCGUAGGUUCGAGUCCUACUGGCGGAG